GCUUGGGUGGCUCAGUCGGUUGAGCAUCUGACUUUGGCUCAGGUCAUGAUCUCGCGGUUUGUGGGUUCGAGCCCCGCGUCGGGCU
rnacentral:tRNA from 1 species